AAAUAGACAGGUUCUCACUACGUUGCCCAGGCUGGAGUGCAGUGAUUAUUCACAGAUGCGAUCAUAGCACACUGGCCACCUUGAACUCCUGGCCUCAAGCCAUCCGCCUACUCAGCCUCCGGAGUAGCUGAGGCAGGAGAAUUGCUAGAACGUGGGAAGAGGAGGUUGCUGUGAGCCCAGGUGGCACCACUGCAUUCCAGCCUGGGCGACAGAGCAAGACUCCAUCUAAAAAAAAAAAAAAAAAAGAAGUGGGCCUUGACAAGAGCCUAUUUAUAGCUCAUGAUGUGGAAGGCUAUGGGCACACACACAAAACUGUGUAAAUGCUCAGGAGAAAUCAAAGAGGACCCUGGUAAGCUAUCUGUCCCUGGGUGAAUGAGAGGUCUAGUCAAUUCGGAAAGUAAAAGCUGAGGCAGGCUUGUAGACUGAACUUUGAUUUGAAUGCAUCCUCCAUGCCACACACUGACCCAUAGGCAAAAGGUGGAAACCUACUGGCUCAAGGUGUUUAAGCACACCUUUGAACAAUCACUGACUGACCACUAAGCUAUGCUGACCUAUGGUUAAAAGUGAAACAAAAAGAAAAAAAGAAACAAAACUUAGCUGAAACAUCAGUGGCUAUACACAGCAGAGGAAAUAGAUUCUACAGAAAUAGUCCAGGCAAGUCACCAAGCAAAAAUAGCAACAAUAACCACCUAGGAAAUGACGUUACAAUAUAUUAUCCAAAAAUGUCCAGUUUUCUACAAAAUACUUAUGAGACAUGCAAAGAAAUAGGAAAAUGUACUGCAUACACAGCAAAAAAACCCAUCAAUAGACAGUUUUUAAGGAUGACCACAUGUUAGACUUGGCAAAGAUCUCAAAGCAGCUAUUAUCCAUAUGUUCAAAGAACUAAAAGAAAGUGUGUUUAAAUAAUUAAAAGGAAAGUAUAAUGAUAAUGUUUUAUCAAAUAGGGAAUAUAGUAAGAGAUUAUAAUGUUUGGGUGCGGUAGCAUGUGCCUGUAGUUUUAGCUGCUCAGGAGGCUGAGGCAGGAGGAUCACUUGAGCCUAGGAGUUGAAGUCCAGCCUGGGCAACAUAGCGAGACCCCUAAUUCUGGAGUUGAAAAGUAUAAUUACUGCAAUGAAAAAAUUCAAUAGAGGGUUCAGUAGGAAAUCUGAACUGGUAGAAGAAAGAAUUAAUGGACUUGCAGGUUGAUUAGAACAGAUUAUUCAAUCUGAAGAAUGGGAGGAAAAAUGAACAAAAAUGAAUAGAGCCUCAGAGACCUGUGGGGAAACCAUCAAACAUACCAGCAUAUGGUACAUGUACUGGAAGUUCAAGAAGGAGAAGAAAAAAAGAGGAGAAAAAAAUAACUGAAAAAAUAAUGGCAGUAAACUCCCCAAAUGUGGUGCAUAACAUUACACUACACACAGGAAGCUCAAUAAAUUCUAAGUAGGAUAAAUGCAAAAGGAUCCACAUUUAGACACAUCAGUAGAACUGUUGAAAGCCAAAACAAAUAGAAAAACCUGGAAAACAACAUCAAGUAUGAGAGAACCACAAUAAAAUUAACAACUGAUUUCUUAUCUGAAACAAUGGAUGCCAGAAGUAAGUGGUCUGAUGUACUCAAAGUGCAGAAAGUUAAAAACUAAACUGUUGACCAAAAAUAUUAUAUACAGCAAGACCAUCCUUCAAAAAACAAAAUCAAAAUAAAAACAUUCCCAGAUAACAGAAUCCUCCCAGACUGAGAGAAUUCACUACCAGUAGACCUAACUUACAAGACAUGUCAUAGGAAGUUCUUCAGGCUGAAGGAAAGAGACAGGAAAUGGUAACUCAAAUCCACACAAAGGAAUAGAGACCAAUAAAGGUAAUUACAUAGGUAAUUACAAAACACAGUAUAAAUAUACAUUUUAUCUUUUCUCCUCUUAACUGAUUUAAAAGAUAACUGCAUACAAC
rnacentral:lncRNA from 10 species